UACGUAGGGUGCAAGCGUUGUCCGGAAUUAUUGGGCGUAGAGAGCUCGUAGGCGGUCUGUCGCGUCGGCUGUGAAAACCCGGAGCUCAACUCCGGGCCUGCAGUCGAUACGGGCAGACUGGAGUUCGGCAGGGGAGACUGGAAUUCCUGGUGUAGCGGUGAAAUGCGCAGAUAUCAGGAGGAACACCGGUGGCGAAGGCGGGUCUCUGGGCCGAUACUGACGCUGAGGAGCGAAAGCGUGGGGAGCGAACAGG
rnacentral:rRNA from 1 species